GCUCCCCUGGCGUAAUGGUAACGCGUUGGACUUCUACUUCCGCGAGGCCUCGGUCAAUUGUUGGGAUCCAAAGACUGCGGGUUCGAGCCCCGCGGGGAGUG
rnacentral:tRNA from 1 species